rnacentral:rRNA from 1 species
GAUGAACGUUGGCGGUGUGCCUAAUACAUGCAAGUCGAACGGAGUUAGUAGCAAUACUGGCUCAGUGGCGAACGGGUGAGUAACGCGUUGGUGAUCUGCCUUGAAGUGUGGAAUAACGUUCCGAAAGGAACGCUAAUACCGCAUGUGCUCUCGAUUUUCAGAAAGUUGAGAGUAAAGGAUUUAUUCGCUUCAAGAGGUGCCUGCGUCCCAUCAGCUGGUUGGUAGGGUAACGGCCUACCAAGGCUAUGACGGGUAGGGGACCUGAGAGGGUGGCCCCCCACAAUGGAACUGAAACACGGUCCAUACACCUACGGGUGGCAGCAGUAGGGAAUAUUAGAAAUGGACGAAAGUCUGAUCUAGCAACACCGCGUGUGCGAAGAAGGCCUUCGGGUCGUAAAGCACUUUUUGGAAGGAAUAGGAAGGAAUGUACUUCCAGAAUAAGUCUCGGCUAACUACGUGCCAGCCGCCGCGGUAAGAC